CCUACGGGUGGCAGCAGUGAGGAAUAUUGGUCAAUGGACGAGAGUCUGAACCAGCCAAGUAGCGUGAAGGAUGACUGCCCUAUGGGUUGUAAACUUCUUUUAUAAAGGAAUAAAACGAGGCACGUGUGCCUUUUUGCAUGUACUUUAUGAAUAAGGAUCGGCUAACUCCGUGCCAGCAGACGCGGUAAUACGGAGGAUCCGAGCGUUAUCCGGAUUUAUUGGGUUUAAAGGGAGCGUAGAUGGGUUGUUAAGUCAGUUGUGAAAGUUUGCGGCUCAACCGUAAAAGUGCAAUUGAUACUGGCAGUCGUGAGUACAGUUGAGGUAGGCGGAAUUCGUGGUGUAGCGGUGAAAUGCUUAGAUAUCACGAAGAACCCCGAUUGCGAAGGCAGCUUACUAAACUGUGACUGACAUUGAUGCUCGAAAGUGUGGGUAUCAAACAGGAUUAGAUACCCGAGUAGUC
rnacentral:rRNA from 1 species